ensembl:lncRNA
GUAUAGGCUGCUUUCACAGUGCAGCUUUCACAUGAGAAAAUGUUUGUUUGCUGCUGAAUGAUAUUUUGCUUUUUCAAGGACCACUAAUCUUUCUUUCCCAGGGGACUGCAGGGUGUUUAUACAUCUCAUCUCAUAGCAGAAUCACAGUCAAGAUGAGGUUGGAAGAGACUUCUGUGUUCCUCUUGUCCAACUGCAGGUCAAGCAGGGGUACCCAGAAAAGGUUGAACAGGACCAUGUACAGGACCAUCUGUAGAGCAUCUCCAAGGAGUCAGACUCCAUAAAUACAAUUCCAGAUCUGUGAAUAACUGGUCACAUCUUCUACAAUUAGAAGAAGUAGCACAAAGGGUGCGAGACUCAUCUUCCUGAAACAUUAUCCAGCAUUUACUUUGAACAAACUAUUUUUUUUUAA